AUUGAACGCUGGCGGCAGGCCUAACACAUGCAAGUCGAACGAGUCGCGGAUGGGUGAGAAAUGUCUGGGAAACUGCCUGAUGGGGGGGAAUAACUACUAGAAACGGUAGCUAAUACCGCAUACUCUCGAAUAUGCCCAGGUGGGAUUAGCUAGUAGGUGGGGUAAAGGCUCACCUAGGCGACGAUCCCUAGCUGGUCUGAGAGGAGGACCAGCCACACUGGAACUGAGACACGGUCCAGACUCCUACGGUAGGCAGCAGUGGGGAAUAUUGCACAAUGGGCGCAAGCCUGAUGCAGCCAGGCCGCGUGUAUGAAGAAGGCCUUCGGGUUGUAAAGUACUUUCAGCAGGGAGGCGUUACCCGCAGAAGAAGCACCGGCUAACUCCGUGCCAGCAGCCGCGGUAAUAC
rnacentral:rRNA from 1 species